UACAGAGGUCCCAAGCGUUUGUUCGGAUUCACUGGGCGUAAAGGGUGCGUAGGUGGUGAGGUAAGUCGGAUGUGAAAGCUCCGAGCUCAACUCGGAAAUGGCAUUGGAAACUACCUUGCUCGAGGGUUUGAGGGGGGGACUGGAAUACUUGGUGUAGCAGUGAAAUGCGUAGAUAUCAAGUAGAACACCAGUGGCGAAGGCGAGUCCCUGGAAAAACUCCUGACACUGAGGCACGAAAGCUAGGGGAGCAAACAAG
rnacentral:rRNA from 1 species